rnacentral:misc_RNA from 1 species
CCAAUAGCGUAUAUUAAAGUUGUUGUGGUUAAAAAGCUCGUAGUUGAACCUUGGGCCUGGCUGGCCGGUCCGCCUCACCGCGUGUACUGGUCCGGCCGGGCCUUUCCCUCUGUGGAACCCCAUGCCCUUCACUGGGUGUGGUGGGGAAACAGGACUUUUACUGUGAAAAAAUUAGAGUGCUCCAGGCAGGCCUAUGCUCGAAUACAUUAGCAUGGAAUAAUAGAAUAGGACGUGUGGUUCUAUUUUGUUGGUUUCUAGGACCGCCGUAAUGAAUAAUAGGGACAGUCGGGGGCAUCAGUAUUCAAUUGUCAGAGGUGAAAUUCUUGGAUUUAUUGAAGACUAACUACUGCGAAAGCAUUUGCCAAGGAUGUUUUCAUUAAUCAGGAACGAAAGUUAGGGGAUCGAAGACGAUCAGAUACCGUCGUAGUCUUAACCAUAAACUAUGCCGACUAGGGAUCGGACGGUGUUAUUUUUUGACCCGUUCGGCACCUUAUG